GAUGAACGCUGGCGGCGUGCCUAAUACAUGCAAGUCGAGCGAACAGAUGAGGAGCUUGCUCCUCUGACGUUAGCGGCGGACGGGUGAGUAACACGUGGAUAACCUACCUAUAAGACUGGGAUAACUUCGGGAAACCGGAGCUAAUACCGGAUAAUAUAUUGAACCGCAUGGUUCAAUAGUGAAAGACGGUUUUGCUGUCACUUAUAGAUGGAUCCGCGCCGCAUUAGCUAGUUGGUAAGGUAACGGCUUACCAAGGCAACGAUGCGUAGCCGACCGGAGAGGGGGAUCGGCCACACUGGAGCUGGAACACGGUCCAGACUCCUACGGGAGGCAGCAGUAGGGAAUCUGCCGCAAUGGGCGAAAGCCUGACGGAGCAACGCCGAGUGAGUGAUGAAGGUCUUCGGAUCGUAAAACUCUGUUAUUAGGGAAGAACAAAUGUGUAAGUAACUAUGCACGGCUUGACGGUACCUAAUCAGAAAGCCACGGCUAACUACGUG
rnacentral:rRNA from 1 species